GGGUUGUGAGGUUAAGCGACUAAGCGUACACGGUGGAUGCCCUGGCAGUCAGAGGCGAUGAAGGACGUGCUAAUCUGCGAUAAGCGCCGGUAAGGUGAUAUGAACCGUUAUAACCGGCGAUUUCCGAAUGGGGAAACCCAGUGUGACUCGUCACACUAUCAUUAACUGAAUCCAUAGGUUAAUGAGGCGAACCGGGGGAACUGAAACAUCUAAGUACCCCGAGGAAAAGAAAUCAACCGAGAUUCCCCCAGUAGCGGCGAGCGAACGGGGAGGAGCCCAGAGCCUGAAUCAGCAUGUGUGUUAGUGGAAGCGUCUGGAAAGGCGCGCGAUACAGGGUGACAGCCCCGUACACAAAAGCGCAUGUGCUGUGAGCUCGAUGAGUAGGGCGGGACACGUGGUAUCCUGUCUGAAUAUGGGGGGACCAUCCUCCAAGGCUAAAUACUCCUGACUGACCGAUAGUGAACCAGUACCGUGAGGGAAAGGCGAAAAGAACCCCGGCGAGGGGAGUGAAAAAGAACCUGAAACCGUGUACGUACAAGCAGUGGGAGCACCCUUUGGGGUGUGACUGCGUACCUUUUGUAUAAUGGGUCAGCGACUUAUAUUCUGUAGCAAGGUUAACCGAAUAGGGGAGCCGGAGGGAAACCGAGUCUUAACCGGGCGUUAAGUUGCAGGGUAUAGACCCGAAACCCGGUGAUCUAGCCAUGGGCAGGUUGAAGGUUGGGUAACACUAACUGGAGGACCGAACCGACUAAUGUUGAAAAAUUAGCGGAUGACCUGUGGCUGGGGGUGAAAGGCCAAUCAAACCGGGAGAUAGCUGGUUCUCCCCGAAAGCUAUUUAGGUAGCGCCUCGUGAAUUCAUCUCCGGGGGUAGAGCACUGUUUCGGCUAGGGGGCCAUCCCGGCUUACCAACCCGAUGCAAACUGCGAAUACCGGAGAAUGUUAUCACGGGAGACACACGGCGGGUGCUAACGUCCGUCGUGAAGAGGGAAACAACCCAGACCGCCAGCUAAGGUCCCAAAGUCAUGGUUAAGUGGGAAACGAUGUGGGAAGGCCCAGACAGCCAGGAUGUUGGCUUAGAAGCAGCCAUCAUUUAAAGAAAGCGUAAUAGCUCACUGGUCGAGUCGGCCUGCGCGGAAGAUGUAACGGGGCUAAACCAUG
rnacentral:rRNA from 1 species